GUCAGUCAUAUGCUAGAUUGGCUUGACUCGAGUUCAUCUAUGAAUCUUAUGAAAACUCUUUUUCAGUAUUCACACUUACUAUGAUCAGAGAUUUUCUGAACUCAGUCUUACAAAUUACAUAGAGUUUCUCCUUUUCUAUCAAGAUCGAUAGAUUUCAUCUAGGUACAUCCUACUCCAAACAGCAAAUCGAAACCUAUAAUAGCCAACAUAAGCAAGGAUCCGAAUGGCUAGGGACCAA
rnacentral:lncRNA from 1 species